AACGAACGCUGGCGGCAUGCCUAACACAUGCAAGUCGAACGAGACCUUCGGGUCUAGUGGCGCACGGGUGCGUAACGCGUGGGAACCUGCCCUUAGGUUCGGAAUAACUCCCCGAAAGGGGUGCUAAUACCGGAUAAUGUCUUCGGACCAAAGAUUUAUCGCCUUUGGAUGGGCCCGCGUUGGAUUAGCUAGUUGGUAGGGUAAAAGCCUACCGAGGCGACGAUCCAUAGCUGGUCUGAGAGGAUGAUCAGCCACACUGGGACUGAGACACGGCCCAGACUCCUACGGGAGGCAGCAGUGGGGAAUAUUGGACAAUGGGCGAAAGCCUGAUCCAGCAAUGCCGCGUGAGUGAUGAAGGCCUUAGGGUUGUAAAGCUCUUUUACCCGGGAUGAUAAUGACAGUACCGGGAGAAUAAGCGCCGGCUAACUCCGUG
rnacentral:rRNA from 1 species